GAUGAACGCUAGCGGGAGGCCUAAUACAUGCAAGCCGAGCGGUAUUGUUUCUUCGGAAAUGAGAGAGCGGCGUACGGGUGCGUAACACGUGUGCAACCUGCCUUUAUCUGGGGGAUAGCCUUUCGAAAGGAAGAUUAAUACUCCAUAAUAUAUUGAACGGCAUCGUUUAAUAUUGAAAGCUCCGGCGGAUAGAGAUGGGCACGCGCAAGAUUAGCUAGUUGGUGAGGUAACGGCUCACCAAGGCGAUGAUCUUUAGGGGGCCUGAGAGGGUGAUCCCCCACACUGGUACUGAGACACGGACCAGACUCCUACGGGAGGCAGCAGUGAGGAAUAUUGGUCAAUGGGUGCAAGCCUGAACCAGCCAUCCCGCGUGAAGGACGACUGCCCUAUGGGUUGUAAACUUCUUUUGUAUAGGGAUAAACCUACCCUCGAGAGGGUAGCUGAAGGUACUAUACGAAUAAGCACCGGCUAACUCCGUG
rnacentral:rRNA from 1 species